rnacentral:rRNA from 1 species
UACGGAGGGUGCGAGCGUUGUCCGGAUUUAUUGGGUUUAAAGGGUGCGUAGGCGGCCGUUUAAGUCUGGGGUGAAAGCCCGCUGCUCAACAGCGGAACUGCCCUGGAUACUGGAUGGCUUGAGUACAGACGAGGGCGGCGGAAUGGAUGGUGUAGCGGUGAAAUGCAUAGAUACCAUCCAGAACCCCGAUUGCGAAGGCAGCUGCCUAGACUGUAACUGACGCUGAGGCACGAAAGCGUGGGGAGCGAACAGG